rnacentral:rRNA from 1 species
ACUGGUUGUUGGGCAACUUGAUUGUUCAGUAACGAAGCUAACGCGAGAAGUUGACCGCCUGGGGAGUACGGUCGCAAGAUUAAAACUCAAAGGAAUUGACGGGGACCCGCACAAGCGGUGGAUGAUGUGGAUUAGUUCGAUGCAACGCGAAAAACCUUACCUACCCUUGACAUGUACGGAAGUCUGCUGAGAGGUGGAUGUGCCUGAAAGGGAACCGUAACACAGGUGCUGCAUGGCUGUCGUCAGCUCGUGUCGUGAGAUGUUGGGUUAAGUCCCGCAACGAGCGCAACCCUUGCUAUUAAUUGCCAUCAUUAAGUUGGGCACUUUAAUAGGACUGCUGGUGAUAAACCGGAGGAAGGUGGGGAUGACGUCAAGUCCUCAUGGCCCUUAUGGGUAGGGCUUCAGACGUCAUACAAUGGCCGGUACAGAGGGAUGCCAACCCGCGAGGGGGAGCCAAUCUCAGAAAGCCGGUCGUAGUCCGGAUUGUUCUCUGCAACUCGAGAGCAUGAAGUCGGAAUCGCUAGUAAUCGCGGAUCAGCAUGUCGCGGUGAAUACGUUCCCGGGUCUUGUACACACCGCCCGUCACACCAUGGGAGUGGGUGAUACCAGAAGUAGGCAGUCUAACCGCAAGGGG